rnacentral:rRNA from 1 species
GAUGAACGCUGGCGGCGUGCCUAAUACAUGCAAGUCGAGCGAACAGACGAGGAUCUUGCUCCUCUGACGUUAGCGGCGGACGGGUGAGUAACACGUGGAUAACCUACCUAUAAGACUGGGAUAACUUCGGGAAACCGGCGCUAAUACCGGAUAAUAUAUUGAACCGCAUGGUUCAAUAGUGGAAGACGGUUUUGCUGUCUCUUAUAGAUGGAUCCGCGCCGCAUUAGCUAGUUGGUAAGGUAACGGCUUACCAAGGCAACGAUGCGUAGCCGACCUGAGAGGGUGAUCGGCCACACUGGAACUGAGACACGGUCCAGACUCCUACGGGAGGCAGCAGUAGGGAAUCUUCCGCAAUGGGCGAAAGCCUGACGGAGCAACGCCGCGUGAGUGAUGAAGGUCUUCGGAUCGUAAAACUCUGUUAUUAGGGAAGAACAAAUGUGUAAGUAACUAUGCACGUCUUGACGGUACCUAAUCAGAAAGCCACGGCUAACUACGUG